rnacentral:lncRNA from 1 species
CACAUAUAACUUUAGUGUUUUCGUGGAUGUAUUAUAGUAAUUUCUGCGCGUUUGUUACCUGUUGCUAUAAACUUUGAAUGAUAUGAUCGACCCUUUCUUGGUAGAUGCUGUUUGUAGGUCACUGUUGGUUUGAACUGUGGAUGAAAUGUUCUGCUAGUUGAUUGCACUUCUAGUCAUCGUAUCUGGCGUUGAUAAAUAGUUAAUUUUUGAACCAACAAUUUUAUUUUUUUGGGCUAUGGUAAUGUGCAUUUUGUUGUUUUAAUUCAAUGUUCAAUAAGCAUUAUUCAGUUGAUCUCACCUAUGUUCAAUCUUCACGUGUUCAAUAAGUGGUUCUGUAUGUCUUAUUUUUUGUCCUUUGUGACUGGGGCACACAUAUAACUUUAGUGUUUUCUAUGGAUCGAUUAUAGUAAUUUCUAUGCUUUUGUUGCUUCUUGCUGUCAACUUUGAAUGAUAUGGUCAGGCCUUUCAUGGUGGAUGUUGUUUGUAGGUCACUGUUGGUCUAGACUGUGGAUGAAAUAGUUUGGUGCUGGAGAUUAUGUUCUCUUCAGCAGCGAUUGAGCGAGCAGCUCUGGAAGGUCUGCUGUUCUGCAGACAAUUGAGCAGCAACAAUCGUUCGAUGGGGGGAGGAGAAUAAGAGACACUGUGGGAUCUUUUCUCCAGGUCGGCUUCUAGUUCUUUUACUCACGAUUUGUUGGUCUUCUCUUUCUUCUUCUCCUUCAACUUGUUGUUGGUCUCCCGGGGGGGUAA